rnacentral:rRNA from 1 species
UACGUAGGGGGCAAGCGUUGUCCGGAUUCAUUGGGCGUAAAGAGCGUGUAGGCGGCCAGGUAGGUCGGUUGUGAAAACUGGAGGCUCAACCUUCAGAGGUCGACCGAAACCAUCUGGCUAGAGUCCGGAAGAGGAGAGUGGAAUUCCUGGUGUAGCGGUGAAAUGCGCAGAUAUCAGGAAGAACACCCGUGGCUAAGGCGGCUCUCUAGUACGGUACUGACGCUGAGACGCGAAAGCGUGGGGAGCGAACAGG